rnacentral:rRNA from 1 species
CCUACGGGAGGCAGCAGUGGGGAAUUUUGGACAAUGGGCGCAAGCCUGAUCCAGCAAUGCCGCGUGCAGGAUGAAGGCCUUCGGGUUGUAAACUGCUUUUGUACGGAACGAAACGGUCCGCCCUAAUACGGUGGGCUAAUGACGGUACCGUAAGAAUAAGCACCGGCUAACUACGUGCCAGCAGCCGCGGUAAUACGUAGGGUGCAAGCGUUAAUCGGAAUUACUGGGCGUAAAGCGUGCGCAGGCGGUUAUAUAAGACAGUUGUGAAAUCCCCGGGCUCAACCUGGGACCUGCAUUUGUGACUGUAUAGCUAGAGUACGGUAGAGGGGGAUGGAAUUCCGCGUGUAGCAGUGAAAUGCGUAGAUAUGCGGAGGAACACCGAUGGCGAAGGCAAUCCCCUGGACCUGUACUGACGCUCAUGCACGAAAGCGUGGGGAGCAAACAGGAUUAGAUACCCUGGUAGUCCACGCCCUAAACGAUGUCAACUGGUUGUUGGGUCUUCACUGACUCAGUAACGAAGCUAACGCGUGAAGUUGACCGCCUGGGGAGUACGGCCGCAAGGUUGAAACUCAAANAGAGUAGACGCGUGAGACGAGCCGACGGACGACGACGAGGGAGGAGG